UACGUAGGGGGCAAGCGUUGUCCGGAAUUAUUGGGCGUAAAGAGCGUGUAGGCGGUCCGGUAAGUCAGCUGUGAAAGUCAAGGGCUCAACCCUUGAAAGCCGGUUGAUACUGUCGGGCUAGAGUCCGGAAGAGGCGAGUGGAAUUCCCGGUGUAGCGGUGAAAAUGCGCAGAUAUCGGGAGGAACACCAAUGGCGAAGGCAGCUCGCUGGGACGGUACUGACGCUGAGACGCGAAAGCGUGGGGAGCAAACAGG
rnacentral:rRNA from 1 species